CAAUAGCGUAUAUUAAAGUUGUUGCAGUUAAAAAGCUCGUAGUUGGAUUUCUGGCAGGAGCGACCGGUCACACACUCUGUGCGUGAACUUGUGUUGUCUCUGGCCAUCCUUGGGGAGAUCCUGUUUGGCAUUAAGUUGUCGGGCAGGGGAUACCCAUCGUUUACUGUGAAAAAAUUAGAGUGUUUAAAGCAGGCUUAUGCCGUUGAAUAUAUUAGCAUGGAAUAAUAAGAUAGGACUUCGGAACUAUUUUUGUUGGUUUGCGUUACGAAGUAAUGAUUAAUAGGGACAGUUGGGGGUAUUCGUAUUGCAUUGUCAGGAGGAUGAAUUCGUUGGAUUCAUGCAAGACGAACUAACUGCUGAAA
rnacentral:rRNA from 1 species